UACGAAGGGUGCAAUCGUUGUUCGGAAUUAUUGGGCGUAAAGCGCACGUAGGCGGGUUUGCAAGUCCCAUGUGAAAUCCCACGGCUCAACCGUGGAAGUGCAUGGGAAACUGCAGAGCUUGAGUACUUAAGAGGAUCGCGGAAUUCCCGGUGUAGAGGUGAAAUUCGUAGAUAUCGGGAGGAACACCAGUGGCGAAGGCGGCGAUCUGGGAAGAUACUGACGCUGAGGUGCGAAAGCGUGGGGAGCAAACAGG
rnacentral:rRNA from 1 species